UACGUAGGGGGCAAGCGUUGUCCGGAAUCAUUGGGCGUAAAGCGCGUGUAGGCGGCCCGGUAAGUCCGCUGUGAAAGUCGGGGGCUCAACCCUCGAAUGCCGGUGGAUACUGUCGGGCUAGAGUGCGGGAGAGGCGAGUGGAAUUCCUGGUGUAGCGGUGAAAUGCGCAGAUAUCAGGAGGAACACCGGUGGCGAAGGCGGAUCUCUGGGCCGUAACUGACGCUGGAGGAGCGAAAGCAUGGGGAGCGAACAGG
rnacentral:rRNA from 1 species